CUAUUACUCCCUCCGUCCGGAAAUACUUGUCGCAGGAAUAGAUAUAAAUGGAUGCAUCUAAAACUAAAAUACAUCUAGAUACAUCCAUUCCUCCGACAAGUAUUUCCGGACGGAGGGAGUAUUAC
rfam:Triticum aestivum genome assembly, contig: Triticum_aestivum_CS42_TGACv1_scaffold_157876_2DL